UUGUUUGGAUAGCUUCGGAUUCUUCUGAGACCGUAAACAGACAGAAUAUGAGAACUACACAGAUGCCUCCAACAACUUCAGAUGAGACCAAGGUGGACGGUACAGAUUCAUCGGCCUGUGGUGCUGGAUUUUUCCGAAGAUGUUUGGCAACCAUAUUUCGGCACACUUAUGCGAUGAAAUCUUGCAGUCCAUUGAGAAAAAUCAUAGAAAAACAAAUGCAA